GCCAUUGUGGUGUAGUGGUUAGCAUGUCAGCUUAGUAAAAUCAUAUGAUAUUAAUGGAUACUUUUUUAAGGUCCUGGGUUCAAUUCCUGCGUUUGCC